ACUUUCUUAGGAUAAGAGAAAUCCGUUGGUCUUAGGAACCAAAAAAUUGGUGCAACUCCAAAUGAAAGUA
rnacentral:tRNA from 1 species